UACGUAGGGGGCAAGCGUUGUCCGGAUUCAUUGGGCGUAAAGAGCGUGUAGGCGGCCAGGUAGGUCGGUUGUGAAAACUGGAGGCUCAACCUUCAGAGGUCGACCGAAACCAUCUGGCUAGAGUCCGGGAGAGGAGAGUGGAAUUCCUGGUGUAGCGGUGAAAUGCGCAGAUAUCAGGAGGAACACCGAUGGCGAAGGCAGGUCUCUGGGCCAUAACUGACGCUGAGAAGCGAAAGCAUGGGGAGCGAACAGG
rnacentral:rRNA from 1 species